rnacentral:misc_RNA from 1 species
GGUCUGUAGAUUCAGCACUAGUCAGCAGCAAACAGCAAACGCAGAGUCAGAAGGGAAUUUCCCAAGAAAGUAAAGCAAAGGAGCUAAAGCAACUGAGAGAAAAGCGGCCAUUAAAAGGAAAAGGCAAUGGACAUUGAAGAAGAAGAAGAAGAGAACACGAAACACUGUACCAACUGCAAACACAACAUUAAAACAGAUGUAUACGAGAUGCAUGUAUUACACUGUCAUCGGAGGAUAAAGCUAUGUCCUGAAUGCAAUGAGCCAGUUCCAAAGGAACAAAUGGAGCAACACCACGAGGAUAAUCACACGGAAGCCCCGUGUGAUUUGUGUGGACAAGGAAUAAUGAAGGACCAACUUGAGGACCAUCAGACUAAUGACUGUCGUGAACGCAAGAUCGAGUGCAAAUAUUGUCAGUUAGAAGUGAAAGCGAUCGAUUUCAUGGAGCACACAGUUGCUUGUGGUAGCCGAACCGACGUCUGUGACAAAUGUCUUACGAGGCUAAUGCUUAAAGAUAUGGAGAAUCACAAAUGUGGCGAAGAACCACCUCCCCUCCUUUACAAUCAGUAUCAUACUCCGCCAAAACCACGCCCAACUGGUACCAGGAGGGCCAUACGUGUCGACGUUGACGAAGUUGAGCAGACACAAACCACAGAGCCUGGCAGAUCAGGGUCAGAUGAUGUUAGCAAUCAGUUAAGAAGAGAUGAAGAAAUGGCUGCCGAGCUUCAGGCACAAUAUACCAAUGAAGACCCCGACCAUCACAACGGCUCGCCACACCCUCUAUCACCACAUCCCCUCAUGCCGAAUUCCCACCUUAUACAAGAAACUCGUUACUCUCCGACCACACCUCCUCGCGAGAGGCUAGCACAUGAUACUGGCGAAGACUUACUUAGAGAACAGCUCGAGUUUGAAAUGAGGACAGGAACACGAGGCCAACCAACAAUGGUACUUUAUAAUUACGCUGUCAGCGAGGAAGAGAAGAAGAAGAGAAAUGGAGACAGUCCUGGUAGCCCUAUUGUUUUAAAUGACGAGGAAGGAGAGAGAGAGGAGGAGGAGGAGGAAAGGAGGAGAGAGCAACUGAGAAGAGAUGAGGAAAUGGCUAGACAGCUCCAGGAGGAAAUGGCUAGACAGCUCCAGGAGGAAAUGGCUAGACAGCUCCAGGAGGAAGAUCAAGAAAAUAGAUUGAUAACAAGAUUUGGCCAAGUAAUCGCACAGCGAAAUUCUCCUUCUCCUUCUCCUCCUCUGCUCAAUACUGGAGGAGGAGAGGGUGAGAGGAGAGAGAAUGAAGAAGAAGGUGCCCUUAUUCCUUGUGAAAUAUGUCAGGAGCUAGUCCGUUUUGAAGACUACCAAAAGCACACAGAUGAGAAGCACUCCCAUCUUGCUGCUUAUCUACAAAGCAUCGCUCACCCUCCCCCUCCUCCCCAAAGGUACUCUUCACCCGAGCGUGGAAGAACAGCUUCUUCUUCUUCUUCUUCAACUAAAAACAGUCCAAAAACUGAAGAUGGCGAUAUCCAUUGUUCAUAUUGUCAUUUCAAAUACAGCCCAAACGUAAUAACAUAUCACGAGACUAUAUGUGACAUGAAUCCUGAUAGAGGUUUGAGCAGACCUCAGUUACCAUCACCAAAAGUUAACAGAGCUAAUAGCCCCUUGGCCCCAACCCGUCAACUUGAAGACCUAACUAGAUCAACUGAUGAUACUGAAGAUGAUUUUGGCAUUCCUUGUCAAUUUUGUCAACGCAUGUUCUCUUUCAGUGAAAUAGAGCGUCACCAGAAAGCCUGUCCAACUCGUUUUGACCCUCGUUUUCUUGAAAGAGAAAGCAGAAGGAGUCCUCGAAGCUCCGAUAUCUUUAAUAGCAACGUCAGUGAUGACCGUAAAGCAAGGCCUGUAUUCAAUUCAGCACCUGUUGCUACUUCAGCUACUAAGAAGACCAGCUUGACUCCAACAUUAAACUACGGAGGAGCUAGUGUGGCGGGUUAUACCUCAACAACCCAAAGGAUGAGACUUGGCAGUGAUCCGACUAAAAAACCAUCACUAGAGAAUAAAAUUUUAGCCGAGAGUAAUGUCAACAAAAGCACCUACGUGUAUACUACUAAUAGUGGAGCUACAGGAGGAGGAGGAGGUAGAGGAGGAGGAGGAGGGAGAGGAAGAGGAGGGAGAGAAGGAGGAGGGAGAGGAGGAGGGACAAGAGGAAGAGGAGGAACAGCAAGACCUGGAGCAGAAAGGGGGAGAGGAGGACCAAGAGGACCUGAAGGAGGAGGAAGAGGGAGAGAAGGAAACAGUAGAGGAGGAGGAGGUUCAUUAUAUAUUGAUUUGACUGCUAGUAAUAAUAAUGGGAACAGGACUGGAGACAAUGGAAGAUAUGGUCUUGUUAUAGAAGGCACUGCCAUUACUCCUCCUGGUGAUAAAGAAGAAGAAGAAGAGAUGGAAGUCGAACCUUCUUUUACCGAAAGUGAUGGUAGCAGUAAAGGCUAUCAAGGGAGCAGCUUUACAAAGUGGAGGAAAUAAAGAACAACUUUUUGUGAUAAUGACGAUGGUCAUUAUUACAUCUGUGCAUUUGUAUAGAAUAAGUGCACACACUUUAGCAUGAGACGUUAAAUAAAAUGCUCUUCUUUUUCGUUCAUCUUUAAAUUAUUAAUGUAAUUAUGAUACUUUAAGAUGUAUUUUGAAUUUAAACUGGCCCCUUAUGACUCGGGUUCUGAAUCACGAAUCUAUUAAUUAUUCAUGAUUAUGGUUGUCCACGCCUACAAGCAUGGUUAGGUUAACAAGAAACAAACUUAGGAUCAUGUUGAAGGCACAGGUACAGGUAGUCAAGGUGCCAAA